GCAAAACGCGAAGAACCUUACCUACCCUUGACAUGUCUGGAAUGCCGAAGAGAUUUGGUAGUGCUCGCAAGAGAACCGGAACACAGGUGCUGCAUGGCUGUCGUCAGCUCGUGUCGUGAGAUGUUGGGUUAAGUCCCGCAACGAGCGCAACCCUUGUCAUUAGUUGCUACGAAAGGGCACUCUAAUGAGACUGCCGGUGACAAACCGGAGGAAGGUGGGGAUGACGUCAAGUCCUCAUGGCCCUUAUAGGUGGGGCUACACACGUCAUACAAUGGCUGGUACAAAGGGUUGCCAACCCGCGAGGGGGAGCUAAUCCCAUAAAGCCAGUCGUAGUCCGGAUCGCAGUCUGCAACUCGACUGCGUGAAGUCGGAAUCGCUAGUAAUCGUGGAUCAGAAUGUCACGGUGAAUACGUUCCCGGGUCUUGUACACACCG
rnacentral:rRNA from 1 species